GGAGGCGUGGCAGAGUGGUCGAAUGCAGCGGUCUUAAAAACCGUAGGGCACUAUUUCACGGGUCCCGAGGGUUCGAAUCCCUCCGCCUCCGCCA
rnacentral:tRNA from 1 species